GACGAACGCUGGCGGCGCGCCUAACACAUGCAAGUCGAACGGAGCUGAGAGAAGCUUGCUUUUCUUAGCUUAGUGGCGAACGGGUGAGUAACGCGUGAGUAACCUGCCCUGGAGUGGGGGACAACAGUUGGAAACGACUGCUAAUACCGCAUAAGCCCACGAUCCGGCAUCGGAUUGAGGGAAAAGGAUUUAUUCGCUUCAGGAUGGACUCGCGUCCAAUUAGCUAGUUGGUGAGGUAACGGCCCACCAAGGCGACGAUUGGUAGCCGGACUGAGAGGUUGAACGGCCACAUUGGGACUGAGACCCGGCCCAGACUCCUACGGGAGGCAGCAGUGGGGGAUAUUGCACAAUGGGGGAAACCCUGAUGCAGCGACGCCGCGUGGAGGAAGAAGGUUUUCGGAUUGUAAACUCCUGUCGUUAGGGACGAUAAUGACGGUACCUAACAAGAAAGCACCGGCUAACUACGUG
rnacentral:rRNA from 1 species